rnacentral:rRNA from 1 species
GAUGAACGCUGGCGGCGUGCCUAACACAUGCAAGUCGAGCGGCAGCGAGGGGUGCUUGCACCCUGUCGGCGAGCGGCGGACGGCUGAGUAACGCGUGGGAACGUGCCCCAAAGUGAGGAAUAACUGCCCGAAAGGGUAGCUAAUACCGCAUAUUAUCUUCGGAUCAAAGGAUUUAUCCGCUUUGGGAGCGGCUCGCGUCGGAUUAGGUAGUUGGUGAGGUAAUGGCUCACCAAGCCGACGAUCCGUAGCUGGUCUGAGAGGAUGACCAGCCAGACUGGAACUGAGACACGGUCCAGACUCCUACGGGAGGCAGCAGUGAGGAAUCUUCCACAAUGGGCGAAAGCCUGAUGGAGCAACGCCGCGUGCAGGACGAAGGCCUUCGGGUUGUAAACUGCUUUUAUAAGUGAGGAAUAUGACGGUAACUUAUGAACAAGAAUCGGCUAACUACGUG